UACGUAGGGGGCAAGCGUUGUCCGGAUUUAUUGGGCGUAAAGAGCGCGCAGGCGGCUGGUCAAGUCCGAUGUGAAAGCUCCCGGCUUAACUGGGAAAUUGCAUCGGAAACUGAUCGGCUGGAAGGUGGGAGAGGGUAGCGGAAUUCCCGGUGUAGUGGUGAAAUGCGUAGAUAUCGGGAGGAACACCAGUGGCGAAAGCGGCUACCUGGCCCAUUCUUGACGCUGAGGCGCGAAAGCUAGGGGAGCAAACGGG
rnacentral:rRNA from 1 species